rnacentral:rRNA from 1 species
UGGAUCCAGACUUUGAUUCUGGCUCAGGACGAACGCUGGCGGCACGCCUAACACAUGCAAGUCGAACGGAGAUAAUUGAGUUUACUUGAUUAUCUUAGUGGCGGACGGGUGAGUAACACGUGAGCAACCUGCCUCUGAGAGAGGGAUAGCUUCUGGAAACGGAUGGUAAUACCUCAUAACAUAGCGGAACCGCAUGAUUCUGCUAUCAAAGAUUUAUUACUCAGAGAUGGGCUCGCGUCUGAUUAGCUAGUUGGCGAGGUAACGGCUCACCAAGGCGACGAUCAGUAGCCGGACUGAGAGGUUGAACGGCCACAUUGGGACUGAGACACGGCCCAGACUCCUACGGGAGGCAGCAGUGAGGGAUAUUGCACAAUGGAGGAAACUCUGAUGCAGCGAUGCCGCGUGGAGGAAGAAGGUUUUCGGAUUGUAAACUCCUGUUUCGAGGGACGAUAAUGACGGUACCUCGGGAGGAAGCUCCGGCUAACUACGUGCCAGCAGCCGCGGUAAUACGUAGGGAGCGAGCGUUGUCCGGAAUUACUGGGUGUAAAGGGAGCGCAGGCGGGAUUGCAAGUCAGGUGUGAAAUGCAGGGGCUCAACCCCUGAGCUGCACUUGAAACUGUAGUUCUUGAGUGAAGUAGAGGUAAGCGGAGUUCCUAGUGUAGCGGUGAAAUGCGUAGAUAUUAGGAGGAACAUCGGUGGCGAAGGCGGCUUACUGGGCUUUUACUGACGCUGAGGCUCGAAAGCGUGGGGAGCAAACAGGAUUAGAUACCCUGGUAGUCCACGCUGUAAACGAUGAUGACUAGGUGUGGGGGGACUGACCCCUUCCGUGCCGCAGUUAACACAAUAAGUCAUCCACCUGGGGAGUACGGCCGCAAGGUUGCAACUCAAAUGAAUUGACGGA